GAUGAACGCUGGCGGCGUGCUUAACACAUGCAAGUCGAACGGAAAGACGCGGAGCUUGCUGCUUGCACGUUUGGGGCGGGCGGGUGAGUCACAUGAGGAUACCCCCCCUGUAAGUGUGGGAUCACUACGGGAAACGGGAUAUAACACGGGAGGAUAUAUUGAAGCGCGGGGGUCGAUAGUGAGUGACGGCUUUGGUGGAACUAAUCGCUGGUUACCAGCUGGUUUAGCUAGUUGGUAGGGUCACGGCGUUCCAAGGCUAGCAUGCGUAGCCGACCUGAGAGGAUGAUAGGCCACACUGGAACUGAGACACGGUCCAGACUACUACGGGAGGCAGCAGUAGGGAAUGUGAGGCAAUGGGCGAAAGCCUGACGCAGCAACGCGGCGUGAGUGAUGAAGGUCUUCGGAUCGUAAAACGCUGUUAUGAGGGAAGAACAAAUUUGGAAUGAACUAUGCAGGGCGUGACGGUACCGGAUCAAAAAGCAACGGCUAACUACGUG
rnacentral:rRNA from 1 species